UACGUAGGGUGCAAGCGUUGUCCGGAAUUAUUGGGCGUAAAGAGCUCGUAGGCGGUCUGUCGCGUCGGCUGUGAAAACCCGGGGCUCAACCCCGGGCCUGCAGUCGAUACGGGCAGACUAGAGUGUGGUAGGGGAGACUGGAAUUCCUGGUGUAGCGGUGAAAUGCGCAGAUAUCAGGAGGAACACCGGUGGCGAAGGCGGGACUCUGGGCCGAUACUGACGCUGAGGAGCGAAAGCGUGGGGAGCAAACAGG
rnacentral:rRNA from 1 species